rnacentral:rRNA from 1 species
AGAUCAAGCGUCUCAAGGGCGUUUGGUGGAUGCCUUGGCAGUCAGAGGCGAUGAAAGACGUGGAAGCCUGCGAUAAGGCUCGGGGAGCUGGCAAACAAGCUGUGAUCCGGGCAUUUCUGAAUGGGGAAACCCACCGACUUUCGGGUCGGUACCUUACACUGAAUCCAUAGGUGUAAGGGGCGAACCGGGGGAACUGAAACAUCUAAGUACCCCGAGGAAAAGAAAUCAACCGAGAUUCCCUAAGUAGCGGCGAGCGAACGGGGACUAGCCCUUAAGCUAGACAACUGGUAGGAGAAGGCUCUGGAAAGUGCCGCCAUAGUGGGUGAUAGCCCCGUAUCCGAAACCUGAGUCUGGUGAAAUCGAGUAGGACGGGACACGUGAUAUCCUGUCUGAACAUGGGGGGACCAUCCUCCAAGGCUAAAUACUCCUGACUGACCGAUAGUGAACCAGUACCGUGAGGGAAAGGCGAAAAGAACCCCUGUGAGGGGAGUGAAAUAGAUCCUGAAACCGUAUGCGUACAAGCAGUCGGAGCGGACUUGUUCCGUGACGGCGUACCUUUUGUAUAAUGGGUCAGCGACUUAUGUUCAGUGGCGAGGUUAACCGUUUAGGGGAGCCGUAGGGAAACCGAGUCUGAAUAGGGCGAUUUAGUCGCUGGGCAUAGACCCGAAACCGGGCGAUCUAUCCAUGAGCAGGUUGAAGGUGCCGUAACAGGCACUGGAGGACCGAACCCACUGUCGUUGAAAAGCCAGGGGAUGACUUGUGGAUCGGAGUGAAAGGCUAAUCAAGCCCGGAGAUAGCUGGUUCUCCCCGAAAGCUAUUUAGGUAGCGCCUCGGACGAAUACCACAGGGGGUAGAGCACUGUUUCGGCUAGGGGGUCAUCCCGACUUACCAACCCGAUGCAAACUCCGAAUACCUGUGAGUACUAUCCGGGAGACACACGGCGGGUGCUAACGUCCGUCGUGAAGAGGGAAACAACCCAGACCGCCAGCUAAGGUCCCCAAGUACCAGUUAAGUGGGAAACGAUGUGGGAAGGCUCAGACAGCUAGGAGGUUGGCUUAGAAGCAGCCAUCCUUUAAAGAAAGCGUAAUAGCUCACUAGUCGAGUCGGCCUGCGCGGAAGAUGUAACGGGGCUCAAACUGGUCACCGAAGCUGCGGCUGCUUGCAUACUUUGUAUGCGGGGUAGGGGAGCGUUCUGUAAGCCUGCGAAGGUGUGUUGAGAAGCAUGCUGGAGGUAUCAGAAGUGCGAAUGCUGACAUGAGUAACGACAAGAGUGUGAGAGACCCGCUCGCCGAAAGUCCAAGGGUUCCUGCGCAAUGCUAAUCAGCGCAGGGUUAGCCGGCCCCUAAGGCGAGGCCGAAAGGCGUAGUCGAUGGGAACCAGGUCAAUAUUCCUGGGCCAGCGGGUAGUGACGGAUUGCGUGGAAGUUGUUUUCCUUAUCGGAUUGGAUGGGCAGCCAUGAGGCAGUCCAGGAAAUAGCUCCAUCAGCACUAUAGACCGUACCCUAAACCGACACAGGUGGACUGGUAGAGAAUACCAAGGCGCUUGAGAGAACUAUGCUGAAGGAACUCGGCAAAUUACUCCCGUAAGUUCGCGAGAAGGGAGCCUGGCUGCGCGCAAGCGUUGUCCAGGGGCACAGACCAGGGGGUGGCGACUGUUUACUAAAAACACAGGGCUCUGCGAAGUCGCAAGACGACGUAUAGGGUCUGACGCCUGCCCGGUGCCUGAAGGUUAAAAGGAGGUGCAGAAGCUCCGGAUUGAAGCCAGAUAGACGGUCGGCAGUAACUAUAACGGUCCUAAGUGUAGCGAAUUCCUUGUCGGGUAAGUUCCGACCUGCACGAAUGGCGUAACGACUUCCCCGCUGUCUCCAACAUCGACUCAGCGAAAUUGAAUUGCCUGUCAAGAUGCAGGCUUCCCGCGGUUAGACGGAAAGACCCCGUGCACCUUUACUACAGCUUCGCACUGGCAUCAGGAUUGUGAUGUGCAGGAUAGGUGGUAGGCUUUGAACCCGUGACGCCAGUCGCGGUGGAGCCUCCCUUGAGAUACCACCCUUCGCACUCUUGAUGUCUAACCGCGGCCCGUUAUCCGGGUCCGGGACCCUGCGUGGCGGGUAGUUUGACUGGGGCGGUCGCCUCCUAAAGCGUAACGGAGGCGCGCGAAGGUUGGCUCAGAGCGGUCGGAAAUCGCUCGUUGAGUGCAAUGGCAGAAGCCAGCCUGACUGCGAGACUGACAAGUCGAGCAGAGUCGAAAGACGGCCAUAGUGAUCCGGUGGUCCCGAGUGGAAGGGCCAUCGCUCAACGGAUAAAAGGUACGCCGGGGAUAACAGGCUGAUACUGCCCAAGAGUCCAUAUCGACGGCAGUGUUUGGCACCUCGAUGUCGGCUCAUCUCAUCCGGGGCUGGAGCAGGUCCCAAGGGUACGGCUGUUCGCCGUUUAAAGAGGUACGUGAGCUGGGUUUAGAACGUCGUGAGACAGUUCGGUCCCUAUCUGCCGUGGGUGUAGGAUACUUGAGAGGAGUUGCCCCUAGUACGAGAGGACCGGGGUGAACGAACCACUGGUGGACCUGUUGUGGCGCCAGCCGCAGUGCAGGGUAGCUAUGUUCGGACAGGAUAACCGCUGAAGGCAUCUAAGCGGGAAGCCCCCCUCAAAACAAGGUAUCCCUGAGGGCCGUGGUAGACCACCACGUCGAUAGGCCGGAGAUGUAAGCGCAGCAAUGCGUUCAGUUGACCGGUACUAAUAGCUCGAUUGGCUUGAUCUUU